rnacentral:misc_RNA from 1 species
AACGCAUAUUGCGCCCUCUGGUAUUCCGGGGGGCAUGCCUGUUCGAGCGUCAUUAUCACCCCUCAAGCCCGGCUUGUUGUUGGAUGUGGCGGCGGCCUUUAAUGGCGUACCGCCCGUCUCAAAGAUAAUGACGGCGUCUGUGAGGACUCCUGUACACUGAGCUUUCGGGCACGUACUAGGCUGAUACUCGCAGACCCGGUCUUUAGGGCUCGCCUCGGCGGCCCAACUUUUCUAAGGUUGACCUCGGAUCAGGUAGGAAUACCCGCUGAACUUAA